rnacentral:rRNA from 1 species
GGUGAACGCUGGCGGCAUGCCUUACACAUGCAAGUCGAACGGCAGCACGGGAGCAAUCCUGGUGGCGAGUGGCGAACGGGUGAGUAAUAUAUCGGAACGUGCCCAGUCGUGGGGAUAACGCAGCGAAAGCUGUGCUAAUACCGCAUACGAUCUAUGGAUGAAAGCGGGGGACCGCAAGGCCUCGCGCGAUUGGAGCGGCCGAUAUCAGAUUAGCUAGUUGGUGGGGUAAAGGCCCACCAAGGCGACGAUCUGUAGCUGGUCUGAGAGGACGACCAGCCACACUGGAACUGAGACACGGUCCAGACUCCUACGGGAGGCAGCAGUGGGGAAUUUUGGACAAUGGGCGCAAGCCUGAUCCAGCCAUUCCGCGUGCAGGAUGAAGGCCUUCGGGUUGUAAACUGCUUUUGUACAGAACGAAAAGGCUCUGGUUAAUACCCGGGGCUCAUGACGGUACUGUAAGAAUAAGCACCGGCUAACUACGUGCCAGCAGCCGCGGUAA